AUGAACGCUGGCGGCGUGCCUAAUCCAUGCACGUCGCGCGAACAGACGAGGAGCUUGCUCCUCUGACGUUAGCGGCGGACGGGUGAGUAACACGUGGAUAACCUACCUAUAAGACUGGGAUAACUUCGGGAAACCGGAGCUAAUACCGGAUAAUAUAUUGAACCGCAUGGUUCAAUAGUGAAAGACGGUUUUGCUGUCACUUAUAGAUGGAUCCGCGCCGCAUUAGCUAGUUGGUAAGGUAACGGCUUACCAAGGCGACGAUGCGUAGCCGACCUGAGAGGGUGAUCGGCCACACUGGAACUGAGACACGGUCCAGACUCCUACGGGAGGCAGCAGUAGGGAAUCUUCCGCAAUGGGCGAAAGCCUGACGGAGCAACGCCGCGUGAGUGAUGAAGGUCUUCGGAUCGUAAAACUCUGUUAUUAGGGAAGAACAAAUGUGUAAGUAACUAUGCACGUCUUGACGGUACCUAAUCAGAAAGCCACGGCUAACUACGUG
rnacentral:rRNA from 1 species